ensembl:lincRNA Gm29340 predicted gene 29340
GCAGGCCUGCAGGGGAGAGGGAAAGGAAACAAAACAAGACAAAAACAAAAAAAACAAAAAACAAAAAACCACACACACACACACACACACACACACACACACACACACACACACACACACAAAAGAUGCUUAUUGCAAAGCUACAGUCCCAGACUAACCUGGAGGGAUGUUUGAAUUCUGGAAAACCUUAUGGAUAAGCCUCGCAAUUAUGUACUUAGUCACAACCAGAGGGGAGGAACUUUGAAGGCACUGAAUUGAAGAGACACAAAAGUCAGGAAGUGACCCUUUCGUGGGGACUGCAGAGGCCACAGAGGAGAAACAAAGUCCCUUCACAACCAGGGAAGACGGACCGUACCAUCCCGGGGGGCCGGAGUGGGGAAGAGGGCGGUGGAAACUGACAUCCUCGCUCUCAAGGAGCCGGCGAGGACACGGGAUUUCCCGACUGAAAAGCCUCAGUGUUCGCCUGUCCCCGCACAGCCUCUCCCCCUCCGUGGAGGCCUGGGUCCGGCAGCCCGGGGGCGCCCUGCAUCACCGCUCUGUGCGCGGGCGGGGCCGCGCUCCCCGGCCUGGAGAUGGAUGGCGUGCCCGAGCCAGCCCAUCUGCGGCCGCGGCUGGUCCGGGAGGAAGCCGUCCCCGGGGAUGAAUGGGGCUUUGUUCGCUGCCAGCCGCGCUCCCCUCGCGGCCCGGCCCGGCACAACGGAGGCAGUAUGCGACAGGCAUGGAAAUGAGCCGCGGGCUCUCCCCUCGCAGCGCCCAGGAAUGCUGGCCAGCCGGAAAGGAGCCCUCGCUGGGGACCCGCUCCCGCGCCUCUGAAACCCCAUUGAGAAAGGCUCUUUGAAGCAAUUAAAGCGCGUUUCACGGCGGCCCGGGAGGGGGCCCUGGCCGUCCAGCUUCUCUUUUUACCCCUCUUCUCUGUCCGAUCGUGUUUGUGCACCUUGGUGUGGCGGGUUACCUAGAAACCAGGCCAGAACCCGCUCCCUCUCUUGCAGAGAUUCUGUAACCUCACAAAAGUGUCCCCAUAAACAGAUUGCUUGUCACCAGGGGGCGGGGGUGUGUGCGGGCUAGAACCCAGUUUGGACUUGCUCCAAGCUGACCUGCAGAGUCUGGGUUCCUGCUUUCAAAGGCUUCUUUGCUGGGCUCUGCACCCACCUGCCCUGCAGUCAGGUUUAGGCAGACAGAAAUUGCCUCUAGAUGAAAAAGUCCUGAGGCUGCGGCUCAGCAUUUUCCAUUUUCUCAGUGGUGGGGUGGGCCGCGUUCAGGUCUAGAAGUGAUGUCACAACCAGCCCUGUAAAGUGAUGUAACCUGCACUUGUUGAAGGACUAGGACCGGGCUAUUUUGAGACUCUUGAGUUCCUUCCUUCUCCCCUGGAGAAAAGUGGGUGACUGGGCAACUCACAAAGCCGCUCUGAGUACAGCGGUUCUCGUUUGUUACCGGGGAAAAUCUUAAGGCUCAGGAACUGAUUCCGUGAAGAAGGAUGGAAUUCCUUCUAAAUUGGAGGUGGGCACCUUAUAUAUAUACCCAUGGGGCAAGUGUGUGAACUGAAGGCCCAGUAACACCCAUAUAAAAAGAUUUCAUUGAGUUCUCUAGUUGAUUUUAUAGUGCUUUCUUUCCUCUAGGAGUUAAGUCUGUCUCUUCCCCAGCAGGUGCUUCCUAGAGAACACGAUUCUUUUGUUGUAGCUUUGCUUUGUUUGUUGUGUUUCUGAGACUUGGUUCUUGAAUUUCCCUCUGUGGCCAAGAAUGGUGGCAUAUUCUGGAUCGGCCUGCCUCUACCUCCCAAGUGCUGGAGUUCAGGCGUGUGCUGCCUUGAGCAUCAUGAUCUCUUGGGGGGGGGGUUGUUUGUUUGUUUUGUUUUGUUUAGAAGUAUGGGAAAGGGUCUGUGUUCAGAGCAGGUCCUUAACAAUACUUAUGCUAGGCAAAUACAUUCAAUGAAGGAGCGAAUGAAGUCCGAUCCUCUGUUUUGUUUGUUUUGUAUAAUUCCAAACGAGAAGUAGAAGUAGUGAGCACAAGGUGGCUCCUGGGCAAGGAAGACGUUGAGAAGUUUGAAGGGAAGGUUCGGGAACAUUUUUGAGAGCACAAACAUGCCUCAAAUGUUUCCUGAAAUGACCCAGAGGAGAGCAGGCACUCAGGUGGGGGACUCAUUCUUUCCAAGUUUGGGGUUGGUUGGUUCUGGCUAACAUGAAUCAUGUUUUACGUCAGUGAGGAGUGUACCCCGUCCAUCAUUCACUCUUUAAGCAUGCCAUGGAAACAGGAUGGUCAGUCAGAGUCAUGGUUGUGCGUGGUAAGCAUCAUUGCGGCUCAUGUGCUACUCCAGUGUCUCCAUGGUGAUUGUUACCUGGGGCUUGGCUUAUACUUCUAUUAGGAUAUUUUUUCUUUGGGGCUUGGAAUAUAUAAUUUUUUUUUCUGCACACACCACACACACACACACCAUCAGUCAGGAAGCAAAUGAACACGAGAUGGAAGAGGAGAAUGCCCUACCUGAAGCAUAAUCCCAGCAUAUCUCUCUCUCUCUCUCUCCUCUCUUCUCCUUACACACACAGAUCAAGCAAUGGGUAGUCCACUUCAAGAAUGGUGCCCCAGUGUUUCCUUAUUUACUAGGGCAUAGUCUGACCACCAGCAGGUUGCUGUACACAAUAACUUCCUUUCUUAUCCUGGGGUUUCAUCUGACGGCCAUUCUGGUCUCCAUUUUGCUUUUGUAUAGACAGCCUCUCUGACAGCUGAGAUCCUCUCAGCUUCACUCAUUCUCUUUAGCCUUGUAGACACGACUGGCCAGCACAGCGAAAAGCCCCACAGACGAGGUACCUGGGCUAGAGCACAGGCCACACACUAGCAGUGCCCCUCACACAGAGACCUGGUGAGUGCUCUAGAAAUCAAGUAAUCCUGUUCCUUUCUGCCUUUCAGCUUGGUCACGAGCAGGCAGUGGUCUUAGCAAAUAUUAACAAUCCAAAAGUCAAAUGCUGUGUGGUGGUACACACUAGCAAUCUUAGCACUUGGGAAAGUGGGUUGAGAGUUCAAGGGUUAUUCUUAGCUACGCAAUGAGUUUGAGGCCAGCCCAGGGACACUCAGAAACUCUGUCUCAAUUACUCUAAAAGGAUUAAAUAACAAACAUAAAUAUGACCACUAAUCAGAAUUAAGAUUGUUUCUCCCGUCUCUGUCCCUGAAAGAUCCUUCAGGCAUCUGGGGUUCUAAAGCCAGGGCAGCCUCAAGUGAAGUGAGCAGACUGAAUAGAGAGACAAACACAAAGUGCCCUGUUCAAUCUGAUAAUCACAGAAGUUCUGUCACACAUUGCCAUUUUUUUUUUCCAGGAAUGAAUUAUUGGGUUUUUUUUUUUUUGAGCCUUGUAAUUUGUCCAUUAAGUAGAAAAAUGCCCAGAAGACCUCGCUUUUAUUUACCAGCUGACCCGCGACCUUAAUGAGGCUUCGCUAAAGGGUAGGAUGGAGAGUUUUAUUUGUCUUUGUCUUGUGUUUGGGGUUAAAAAAAAAAGAAGAAGAAAGAAAGAAAAAAAGAAAAAAAAGGAGAAGCUGCCUCAUUCAACAGUCUUUUGGUCCCUAAAAUAAACCCCACUCCCCCUAGCAGUGCUAUUUACUCAAUCUCCGGGCUACUAAGUGUAGGGGUGGUCCUUGUUGACUUAAAUGAGUCCCUGCAGCUAGGUGGGGCUCUCUGGAGUCCUUAGUCAUGUGAGGUUGCCAGGGUAACUUAACGUCUCCAGCGCUGGAAUGCUUUAAGACGUACAAAGAGGAGACUACAGAGCGCAUUACAACUUACAGUCAUGUGUUCAAUAACAUGCCAUCUUUUCGUAAUGGGGCUUUUAUUUUUACUUUAUUUUGUGGGAUUGAAAGAUCAGAAGCCGGAAAUUAGCUGGAAAGGAU